GGAGGGAUGCGAGAGCGGCCGAAUCGGCACGCCUGGAGAGCGUGUGUCCCCCCGGGGACCGUGGGUUCAAAUCCCACUCCCUCCGCCC
rnacentral:tRNA from 1 species